rnacentral:lncRNA from 1 species
GUUCUGAGGUCUCUCUCUAUCAGCGUGGCUGAGGAGAUGAAGGGAUCACUGCCUCCCUGCCCGCUGCCAUGUUUUUUCUCCCUCAGUCCUGUUUUCUGACAUUCCAUGAGGAGAUACCCAUCUCUGCAAAUCCUGCUCUCCACAAUUCAAGGUCCCUGGCUCUCUACAUAGACCCCAGCUAUACUGCCAUGAUAAAAUCCGAGGUUCUGGAUGCUCCACAAAAAAAGCCAAGAUUCCCAGUGAGUACUGCUGUCAUAGACUCUGAUUUACUAGCUUAUCAUGUAAAGCCCAGCAUCACUGUGAGUCCUACCAUCAAGUGAAUCCCAGUUCCAUUUUUCUAAACAUAGAGUUCAGAGGAACUGAGUGCCCUGCUGAUACCACUGAAGCCAGAUUUAAAGAUAAGUAGUUAGUGUAGCUACAUAAAUCAGGUCUAAUAUGGAGUGAGAUAAAGAAAAUUGAGGUCAUUAUCAAAAACUGGAGUCCAAGAAACCAGAGCAGCAUUUGGGGAAAUUGAAAUGUUAAUGUCCCCAUGGCCUGCUGGGGACUCAUUCUAGGGAACUGUUAAUGAAACAGCUCCCAGCAAACAGGGAGGUGCUAAUCAAACCAACCCAGGCAGUAGCACUGCCAGUUAUCAGUGACAACUCCUGCUUCCCCAUGUAAGGGUAAAAGAAAUUGAAGUUAAAGCAUAAAAGUUAAAGGGUAAAAGACCANGUUGUCUAAUAACCUGGGACUCUGUGUAACUUGUCACGUAGUCAUUUAGGCCCUAAAACCAAUCAGUUUGAAUGUGUACCCCGCUUAGGAGUGACCAAUCACCCCCGUCUGACCUGUUCCCGCCAAUGAAUGAACUAAUCAUGUUUAGGAGUUGUUGUUCAAUUUUCCCGUGCCUCAUGAUGAUUUGUUCUGAUGUAUACAAAGCCCCCCGCCCUCCCCAAAAAGUGUACUUAAGCACUGCUUGACCUCUGCUCUGGGCUCUGGGCUGCCCUCCCUUCUUGAGCGAGCCUGCCCGGAGCCUCAGCACGCUGAAUUGG